AACGUAGAGGGCAAGCGUUGUCCGGAUUUACUGGGCGUAAAGCGCGCGCAGGCUGCUUGGGAAGUCCGGGGUGAAAGCUCUCCGCUUAACGGAGAGAGGUCCUCGGAGACUCUCAGGCUUGAGGACAGCAGAGGGGGGUGGAAUUCUCGGUGUAGCGGUGAAAUGCGUAAAGAUCGAGAGGAACGCCAGUGGCGAAAGCGACCCCCUGGGGUGUUUCUGACGCUCAAGCGCGAAAGCGUGGGGAGCGAACCGG
rnacentral:rRNA from 1 species